CCUACGGGUGGCAGCAGUAGGGAAUAUUGCUCAAUGGGGGAAACCCUGAAGCAGCAACGCCGCGUGGAGGAUGAAGGUUUUCGGAUUGUAAACUUCUGUUCUUAGUGAAGAAUAAUGACGGUAGCUAAGGAGCAAGCCACGGCUAACUACGUGCCAGCAGCCGCGGUAAUACGUAGGUGGCAAGCGUUGUCCGGAAUUACUGGGUGUAAAGGGAGCGCAGGCGGGAAGCCAAGUCAGCUGUGAAAACUACGGGCUUAACUUGUAGACUGCAGUUGAAACUGGUUUUCUUGAGUGAAGUAGAGGUUGGCGGAAUUCCGAGUGUAGCGGUGAAAUGCGUAGAUAUUCGGAGGAACACCGGUGGCGAAGGCGGCCAACUGGGCUUUAACUGACGCUGAGGCUCGAAGGUGUGGGGAGCGAACAGGAUUAGAUACCCCUGUAGUC
rnacentral:rRNA from 1 species